rnacentral:rRNA from 1 species
GUGCCAGCCGCCGCGGUAAUACGUAGGGUGCAAGCGUUGUUCGGAAUCAUUGGGCGUAAAGCGCGUGUAGGUGGCUAGACAAGUCGGGUGUGAAAGCCCAGAGCUCAACUCUGGAAGUGCAUUCGAAACUAGCUGGCUAGAAGAUGGUAGAGGAAGGUGGAAUUCCAAGUGUAGAGGUGAAAUUCGUAGAUAUUUGGAGGAAUACCGGCGGCGAAGGCGGCCUUCUGGGCCAUUCUUGACACUGAGACGCGAAAGCGUGGGUAGCAAACAGGAUUAGAAACCCUUGUAGUCC